rnacentral:rRNA from 1 species
AGUGGGAUUGAAACACGCCCAAGAUCUCUACGGGAGGCAGCAGUAGGAGAUCUUCCACAAAGGGAGAAAAUUCGAAUGAGCCACCCCCGGUGAAGGAAGAAGGUUUUCGGAUCGUAAAACUCUGUUGUUGGAGAAGAACGUAUUUGAUAGUAACUGAUCAGGUAGUGACGGUAUCCAACCAGAAAGCCACGGCUAACUACGUGCCAGCAGCCGCGGUAAUACGUAGGUGGCAAGCGUUGUCCGGAUUUAUUGGGCGUAAAGCGAGCGCAGGCGGUUUCUUAAGUCUGAUGUGAAAGCCUUCGGCUCAACCGAAGAAGUGCAUCGGAAACUGGGAAACUUGAGUGCAGAAGAGGACAGUGGAACUCCAUGUGUAGCGGUGAAAUGCGUAGAUAUAUGGAAGAACACCAGUGGCGAAGGCGGCUGUCUGGUCUGUAACUGACGCUGAGGCUCGAAAGCAUGGGUAGCAAACAGGAUUAGAUACCCUGGUAGUCCAUGCCGUAAACGAUGAGUGCUAGGUGUUGGAGGGUUUCCGCCCUUCAGUGCCGCAGCUAACGCAUUAAGCACUCCGCCUGGGGAGUACGACCGCAAGGUUGAAACUCAAAGGAAUUGACGGGGGCCCGCACAAGCGGUGGAGCAUGUGGUUUAAUUCGAAGCAACGCGAAGAACCUUACCAGGUCUUGACAUCCUUUGACCACUCUAGAGAUAGAGCUUUCCCUUCGGGGACAAAGUGACAGGUGGUGCAUGGUUGUCGUCAGCUCGUGUCGUGAGAUGUUGGGUUAAGUCCCGCAACGAGCGCAACCCUUAUUACUAGUUGCCAGCAUUUAGUUGGGCACUCUAGUGAGACUGCCGGUGACAAACCGGAGGAAGGUGGGGACGACGUCAAAUCAUCAUGCCCCUUAUGACCUGGGCUACACACGUGCUACAAUGGAUGGUACAACGAGUCGCGAGACCGCGAGGUUUAGCUAAUCUCUUAAAACCAUUCUCAGUUCGGAUUGUAGGCUGCAACUCGCCUACAUGAAGCCGGAAUCGCUAGUAAUCGCGGAUCAGCAU